rnacentral:pre_miRNA from 1 species
UGGACAGAUUAUUGUAUUCAACUGUAUUCACGGCAUGAAACAGGGGAUUACACUAUUUUUAAAUGGAAAGUGAAUCAAUUAACAUAAUAGACUCCU